AGGAAGAACAGCCCCAGUGGCGGGGCAGCUCUGGAAACCUGGAUUCAGCUCCGGCAGGAACUCCGUCUGCAGGGCCUGGAGGCUCCGGGGCGGG
rnacentral:pre_miRNA from 1 species